CUCGCAUAAAGCACUGCGAUGUGGAGGAAUGUCCGUACACUGAUGGCCAGACAUGUUCCAGAUGUACAGGUGUUGUACAGGAAGCUCCAGGUUUACGGGCAUACAUCGCCUCGAGUGAUUCUCGAGCUUGUCUUCAGACGUGUUCCUGGAGGUUAAACAGCACAUGGUGUUAUCCAGGAACCUGUGAAGCCGAGCUGGCAGACAACUGCAAGUGCUCCACUGGAUUCGGUGGUCUCAACUGCCAGACAGUUGAGGAGCGGCCUGUGUUGCUGUGGAACCGCCUGUCAGUGUCAGACAGUGGGUUGGAGACGGCCGAGGCACCUCUGGACCCCAACAUCGUCACAACACAAGAAGCGUCAUGGACGAAUCUUAAAGAUAUAACAAAACUCACAUAUGACUUCAAAACCAAGUUUAUUCAGUCAGGGGUUGUUCCAGAGAGACCUGGAUUCAUUGAAGACUAUAGCGUCGGUAUCGUCAAAGUUGACAUUCAGUAUAGCGUAG